rnacentral:rRNA from 1 species
UACGUAGGGUCCGAGCGUUGUCCGGAUUUAUUGGGCGUAAAGAGCUCGUAGGCGGCUCAGUUAGUCGGAUGUGAAAACUCGGGGCUCAACCCCGAGACGCCAUCCGAUACUGCUGUGGCUUGAAUCUGGUAGGGGAGCACGGAAUUCCUGGUGUAGCGGUGAAAUGCGCAGAUAUCAGGAGGAACACCGGUGGCGAAGGCGGUGCUCUGGGCCAGUAUUGACGCUGAGGAGCGAAAGCGUGGGUAGCAAACAGG